rnacentral:rRNA from 1 species
GAUGAACGCUGGCGGCGUGCUUAACACAUGCAAGUCGAACGGAAAGGCCCAAGCUUGCUUGGGUACUCGAGUGGCGAACGGGUGAGUAACACGUGGGUGAUCUGCCCUGCACUUCGGGAUAAGCCUGGGAAACUGGGUCUAAUACCGGAUAGGACGAUGGUUUGGAUGCCAUUGUGGAAAGUUUUUUCGGUGUGGGAUGAGCUCGCGGCCUAUCAGCUUGUUGGUGGGGUAAUGGCCUACCAAGGCGUCGACGGGUAGACGGCCUGAGAGGGGGUACGGCGACAUUUGGACAGAGAUACGGCCCAGACUCCUACGGGGGGCAGCAGUGGGGAAUAUUGCACAAUGGGCGCAAGCCUGAUGCAGCGACGCCGCGUGGGGGAUGACGGCCUUCGGGUUGUAAACUCCGUUCGCUAGGGACGAAGCGUUUUUGUGACGGUACCUGGAGAAGAAGCACCGGCUAACUACGUG